rnacentral:tRNA from 1 species
CAAAGAAUAGUCUAACUAAGGAUCCUAGCUUUGGGAGUUAGGGGCGGGAGUUAAAAUCUCUCUUCUUUGA